UACGUAGGGUGCGAACGUUGUUCGGAAUCACUGGGCAUAAAGGGCGUGUAGGCGGUCGUACAAGUCGGAUGUGAAAGCCCCCGGCCUAACCGGGGAACUGCAUUCGAUACUGUACGGCUAGAGUGCAGGAGGGGAGAGUGGAAUUCCUGGUGGAGCGGUGAAAUGCGUAGAUAUCAGGAGGAACGCCGGUGGCGAAAGCGACUCUCUGGCCUGCUACUGACGCUGAGGCGCGAAAGCUAGGGGAGCAAACGGG
rnacentral:rRNA from 1 species